GGCCUCUCCUCCCUACUGUCUGCUCUCUUAGGCUGGUUUGUUAUGGCAUGAAAGAUGGCUCCGUGGAAUAAAGAUGUUUCCCCUCUGAUGAGCACAUUUGCAGAAGGAGGAGGAUUGACACCAGCCACACGUAUGUCUGCUGCUGACAAAUGUGCGCACGCCUUGGAGGGCGGGGCCAGGCAGGACAGAGCCGCCCAUGACAGGGGGACACCUCCUGUUCUAGAAUUCUUGGACUGAUUAUCCAUCUUGACAAAGGAGGCCUUGAAUCAAAUUUAAUCUGGUUUAGUGCACUUAUCAAAGAGACAUCGGAGAGAUCCCUUGUGCCUUCUGCCAUGUGAGUUAUAGUGAGAAGACAGCCAUCUACUAGGAAUCAGACCGUCAUCAGACACCAAAUCUGCCAGCACCUUGAUCUUAGAUUUCCCAGACUCCAGAACUGUUAGAAAUAAAUUUCUGUUGUUUAUAAGCCA
rnacentral:lncRNA from 1 species